rnacentral:rRNA from 1 species
CCCCUAGAUGUUCUGGGCCGCACGCGCGCUACACUGAACAGUUCAACAAGUCUUAACCUUGGCCGAUAGGUCUGGGUAAUCUUUGAACGCUGUUCGUGAUUGGGAUAGACCUUUGCAAUUAUGGGUCUUCAACGAGGAAUUCCUAGUAAACGCAAGUCAUCAGCUUGCAUUGAUUACGUCCCUGCCCUUUGUACACACCGCCCGUCGCACCUACCGAUUGAAUGGUCCGGUGAAAUCUCGGGACGGCGGCUUGGUCGCUUGCGUCCGACUGCUGAAACUUGAUUAAACCUUAUCAUCUAGAGGAAGGUGAANUCGUAACA